rnacentral:rRNA from 1 species
UACAGAGGGGGCAAGCGUUGUUCGGAAUUACUGGGCGUAAAGGGCGCGUAGGCGGCCUGUUAAGUCGAACGUGAAAUCCCGUCGGCUUAACCGGGAACUGCAUCUGAUACUGGAUGGCUUGAGUUCGGGAGAGGGAUGCGGAAUUCCAGGUGUAGCGGUGAAAUGCGUAGAUAUCUGGAGGAACACCAAUUGCGAAGGCAGCUCGCUGGGACGUAACUGACGCUGAGACGGCGAAAAGCGUGGGGAGCAAACAGGG